UUUUAUUUCAUCCAGACACUGAAACAAAGAAGUCUGAGGCUCUAGUAGUCUAGGGAUCAUGUUCAGAAUUCUCAAGAAAUACAUGUACACCAAUCUAGUAAUAUUCGGUGUUAGAGUUCCUCAGAGAUCAGCAGAUAUUUAACAUUUCACCUCACAGUUAACGACUUCUCAGGGUCACUGAUAUUGGGGGUAUUCAUCAUAAUUGGCAUAAUUUGAUUUAAGAAAAGAAAGAAUGAAAUUUGCACCAAAACUGAAAUGAGAACCAAACUGAUAUCAAGAUACCUCAACAUUACAGCAUGAUAUCAAAAUGACAUCAAGGUACUCAACAUUACAGCAUGAUAUCAAAAUGACAUCAAGGUACUCAACAUUACAGCAUGAUAUCAAAAUGACAUCAAGGUACUCAACAUUACAGCAUGAUAUCAAAAUGAUAUCAAGAUACUCAACAUUACAGCAUGAUAUCAAAAUGACAUCAAGGUACUCAACAUUACAGCAUGAUAUCAAAAUGACAUCAAGGUACUCAACAUUACAGCAUGAUAUCAAAAUGACAUCACCGUACUCAACAUUACAGCAUGAUAUCAAAAUGACAUCACCGUACUCAACAUUACAGCAUGAUAUCAAAAUGAUAUCAAGAUACUCAACAUUACAGCACGAUAUCAAAAUGAUAUCAAGAUACUCAACAUUACAGCACGAUAUCAAAAUGAUAUCAAGGUACUCAACAUUACAGCAUGAUAUCAAAAUGAUAUCAAGGUACUCAACAUUAUGACAAGAUAUCAGUUUG